UACAGAGGGUGCGAGCGUUAAUCGGAAUUACUGGGCGUAAAGCGCGCGUAGGCGGCUUUUCAAGUCGAUUGUGAAAUCCCCGGGCUUAACCUGGGAACUGCAGUCGAGACUGUCUAGCUAGAGUAUGGGAGAGGGAAGUGGAAUUUCAGGUGUAGCGGUGAAAUGCGUAGAUAUCUGAAGGAACAUCAGUGGCGAAAGCGAGUUCCUGGACAAAUACUGACGCUCAUGUGCGAAAGCGUGGGGAGCGAACGGG
rnacentral:rRNA from 1 species